GUGUCAGCAGCCGCGGUAAUACGGGGGGAGCAAGCGUUGUUCGGAAUUACUGGGCGUAAAGGGUGUCUAGGCGGCCUUGUAAGUCGGGGGUGAAAUCCACUGGCUCAACCAGUGACGUGCCUUCGAAACUGCUAGGCUUGAGUAUGGCAGAGGAGAGCGGAAUUCCAGGUGUAGCGGUGAAAUGCGUAGAUAUCUGGAAGAACACCGGUGGCGUAGGCGGCUCUCUGGGCCAAUACUGACGCUGAAGCACGAAAGCCAGGGGAGCAAACGGGAUUAGAUACCCUCGUAGUCC
rnacentral:rRNA from 1 species